GGACUAGCCAGUCAUUCAGGCAGCAAGACAGUCAGUCAGCCAGAUAGCCAAACAGCUAACCAGUCAGCUAGCCAGACAGCCAACUAGCCAGCCAGCCAGUGGGCCAGCCAGACAGCCAUGAGCCCGUCUCCAAAGGCCUGUUAGGUUCAGCAUGCAAGCAGGGUGGUCUAGUGGUGGUGGUGGUGGUGGUGGUGGGGCCUGGUCGCAGUAGUAGUGGUGGUGGUUACAGCAGGGUGGUGGUGGUGGUAGAGGAGGUGGAAGUGGUUAGUUGGGUGGUUGCUGGUGGUGGAUGCAGCAAGGAGUGGUUGGUGGAGGAAGUAGUGGUGGUGGUGGUUUUAUAAAGGAUAACGUACUCUUGGUCUUGUGGAGUAUCUUAGGAAGGUGGUGGUGGUGGUGGUGGUGGGGUCUCUAUCCAAGGACCACCGACUGAGGGAAGGAGGAGGAGAAGGAAGAGGAGGAGGAAAAGGAAGAGGAGCAAGGUUAGUUUUCAUCAGUAGUGGGUCAUGCAGUUGAGGAAUUGGUUGGAGGAAGAGGAGGAGGACAAAGGAAGAGGAGCAAGGUUAGUCUUCAUCAGUAGUGGAUCAUGCAGUUGAGGAAUUGGUUGGAGGAAGAGGAGGAGGAAAAGGAAGAGGAGCAAGGUUAGUCUUUAUCAUUAGUGGGUCAUGCAGUUGAGGAAUAGGUUGGAGGAAGAGGAGGAGGAAAAGGAAGAGGAGCAAGGUUAGUCUUCAUCAGUAGUGGAUCAUGCAGUUGAGGAAUAGGUUGGAGGAAGAGGAGGAGGACAAAUGAAGAGGAGGAGGAGAAUGAUAAAGAGGACAACAAAGGGGAAAAAAGGAGGAGGAGGAGGAGGAGGAGGAGGAGGGAAAUUAUAAAGAGGACAACAAAGGGGGAAAAAGGAGGAGAAUAUGUACAAAAUAAUGAGGACAAGAUUAAGUUGUUACCAUAUGUGAAAAAAACUGGGGAAAAGUUGAACUAAGAGGAGAAGGAGGAGGAGGAGGGGGAAGAAAUGGAGUUGAGGAUAAGGUGUAAAUAGCCCUUUCUAUCCGUGACGCAAACAUUGGCCUCUUCUAAACCUCUCAAUCCUCCUCUUAAUUCCUCUUAGUCCAUCUUCCAUUUCCUCUUAAAAGGCUUAGAAGAGGAUUAAGAGGAAAUGGAGGAGGAUUAAGAGGAUUAGAGGAGGACUAACUCUUUCCACACGGUGAUGGCGUCGCUGGAGUGAAGGGGAUAGGAAAGGAGGAGAAUAUAUACAAAAUAAUAUGGAUAAGGUUAUGUUAAAAUUCACCAUGCUUGACAAAACUAUGGAAAAGGUGAACUAAGAGAAGAGAAAUGGGGAUGAGGAGAAUGCAUUAAUAGGAAAGGAGGAGGAGGAGGAGGAAGGGUGUAACUAGGAGAGGAAGAGAAGGAGGAGGGAAGGUCUAACUAGGAGAGGAGGAGGAGGAGGAGGAGGAGGAGGAGGAGGGUAGGAGUAGGAGCAAGGCAAUGGAGGAGGGCUAUGGGCUGGACUGACUGGCCUGCACUGGCGUAUUGGGAGUCAGUGCUUAAGGGGGUACUCUACUAGAUGGAACUUAACUCAACCUACGCCAGGGGUGACCCGGUAGACGCCAGCCACCCCGGCGAGCAUUAGUCUAUAGGAGUGUCUUUAUUCAUUAAAUUUACUAUAAAAAUAUAUAUAAUUACUAUGCUCUGGUAACUUAUAUGAUAGAAGGGGGAGUUUUUGAGGGUGGUGGUGGUGGUGGUGGUGGAGGGAGGUCAGGGGGGGGGGGGUGAGGGGUGAAUUUUGAUCCUGAGUGCCAAUUGUUCACAGCAGGUCAGGUCAGGUGGGCCAGUGAGGUCAUCCUGUUAGCUCACUAGGGGGGGAGGAAGGAGGGGAGGGGGUGUUAGGUAAGGCCAAGGGUGGGAGGGGGUAGGGUGUGUGUGUAUGUUUGUUAGAGUGUGACAAAAGACGAGAGAAAAAUAGUAUCGAGUUUGUAUUUAUAUUUGUAGUUCAUGUAGUUGUAGAUUCUGUUAGGAGGGAAAGGGGUGUUAGGUAAGGCCAAGGGUGGGAGGGAGUAGGGUGUGUGUGUAUGUGUGUUAGAGUGUGACAAGAGACGAGAGAAAAACAGUAUCGAGUUUGUAUUUAUAUUUGUAGUUCAUGUAGUUGUAGAUUCUGUUUGCGUUCUCUGAGAUAUAAAAGUGUUUGUCCGCCCUAACUUACUCUGCACCACAUAUUCAUUUGUUAACCUGGUAGCAGCGACGGGCCACAUUUCUGCCAUGAUAUAAACCCCCCAAAAUAGAUGAUGCAUAAACUGAUCACAAACGCGUUGAUAUAUAUUAUGAAAUGGUUUGCGCGAGUGAUGAUUUUUUCUCAUUUUGCUCGCUUAGAGGGGCCUUUAAGAAACAUGAUCCCCGCAGCUACCGGGUUAAAGAUCAUUCUCAGCGUCAAUGUGUCUGUGAGGAAAGCUGUGUUUCGUGAUAUCUCUCAGGAACGUCAAUUUCUUUCCAUGACCACUUGUGUUUAUCGUGUAUUUCUUGUGUGUUUCUAAUGUAUAUGUGUGUGUGAAUGACCAAGUGGAGCAGUGAGGGGAAGAACACACCAGAAUGAGGACAGUUUCACAAUAUCUCUCAAGCACCACAAUUUCUCUCCUUGACUUCUUGUGUUUCUAGUGUACGUAUCUCUAAUGUAUGUCUGUGUAUGUAUUUACCUAUUUGAGGAUGACAAAGUGCAGUAGUGAGGGGAAGAACACACCAGAAUGAGUAUAGUUUUGUGAUAUCUCUCAAGCACCACAAUUUCUCUCCUUGACUUCUUGUGUUUCUAGUGUACGUAUCUCUAAUGUAUGUCUGUGUAUGUAUUUACCUAUUUGAGGAUGACAAAGUGCAGUAGUGAGGAGAAGAACACACCAGAAUGAGGACAGUUUCACGAUAUCUCUCAAGCACCACAAUUUCUCUCCUUGACUUCUUGUGUUUCCAGCGUAUCUCAAGUGUAUGUCUGUGUAUGUGAGAAGGACAAGCUGCAGCCGUGAGAGGAAGAACACACCAAAAUGAGAAUGCAAGGAAAAUAAACAGUGAAUGUGCAGUGAGAAGCAAGGACUGUGGCUGGGCUGUGUGGCGGUGUGUGAGGUGGCUGGGGUGUGGAGGCAGUGUGUGGGUGUGGCUUCAGGGUGACAGUAAGCAGAGGGUGUGUGGUGUGGGUGUACUGUGGGUGGGUCUUAGUGGGUACAGGGACUGGGGGGUAUGGGGAGCCAGGGAAUGGAUAAAUAUGGAAUGUGGGCAAGGGAGGAUAACUAAGGAUAAGGAUAUGGGCUUGAGGACAUGGGAAAGGUUAUAUGUUUUAGGAUAUGGAGAGGAGGUAAAGGAUAGGAAUACUGCCUGGCUGGGGUUAACAGACAUGGAUAAGGAUGUCAGGGGAAGGUGUGAUGUCUUUUCUGGAUUAGGACAUGGAUUAGAAGGAUAGAGGAUGGGUAAGGAAUGUGAGUAUGGGCUAGAGGGAAGGAUAUGGGGCAUGGAGGACUUGGGAUGACUGGAUAUGGGUCAGCUAGGUUAGGAUGGGGAUGGAUGUGACUGGGAUACAGGGAUUAGGUGAGACUGGGUAAGGAGUGUGACUGGAUACAUGUCAGUUAGGUUAGGUUAGGAUGUGACUGGCAAUGGUUUGGGAUACAGGGCUUGGGUGAGACUGGACAAGGAGUGUGACUGGAUACAUGUCAGUUAGGUUAGGUUAAGGAUGUGACUGGCAAUGGUUGUGGUAUGGGACUUAGGUUAGGGGUAUGGGUGACUGGCAAUGUGUCAGGGUAUGGGUGAGGAGCUUGGGUCACUUAGGUUAGGUUGGUGGUAUAACUGGCAAUGUGUCAGUUAGGUUAGGGGUAUAGGUGUGAGUGGCAAUGGGUUGGGAUAGGGGUGUUAGGUUAGGGGUAUGGGUGUGACUGGCAAUGGGAUGGGAUAUGGGGGUUAGGUUAGAGGUAUGGGUGUGACUGGCAAUGUGUCAGUUAGGUUAGGUUAGGUUAGGUUAGGUAAGCGGAGUGACUGGCAAUGGGAUAGGAUAUGGGGGUUAGGUUAGAGGUAUGGGUGUGACUGGCAAUGUAUUAGUUAGGUCAGGUUAGGCGGGGGAUAAGACGGGCAAAGGUCUGGGUACUGGGGUUAGGUUAGGUUAGGCUGGGGAUAAGUCUGGCAAAGGUCUGGGUACAGGGGUUAGGUUAGGGGUGAGGGUCUGACUGGCAUUGGUUGGGGUAUGGGGGUUAGGUUAGGCUGGGGUGUGACUGGCAAUAUGUCAGUUAGGUUAGGUUAGCGGAGUGACUGGCAAAGGUCGGGGUACGGGGCUUAGGUUAGGGGUGAGGGCGGGGGUCAUGGGUGU